rnacentral:rRNA from 1 species
UACGUAGGGUCCAAGCGUUACUCGGAUUUACUGGGCGUAAAGCGUGCGCAGGCGGUUGUGUAAGCCAGAUGUGAAAUCCCCGGGCUUAACCUGGGAAUGGCAUUUGGGACUGCACGGCUAGAGUACGGCAGAGGAGACUAGAAUUCCUGGUGUAGCAGUGAAAUGCGUAGAUAUCAGGAGGAGUACCGAUGGCGAAGGCGGGAUCCUGGGCCAGUACUGACGCUGAGGAGCGAAAGCGUGGGGAGCAAACAGG